rnacentral:rRNA from 1 species
GAUGAACGCUGGCUACAGGCUUAACACAUGCAAGUCGAGGGGAAACGACGGGGAAGCUUGCUUCCCCGGGCGUCGACCGGCGCACGGGUGAGUAACGCGUAUCCAACCUGCCUCUGACUGAGGGAUAACCCGUCGAAAGUCGGCCUAAUACCUCAUGGCAUCGUCUGCGGGCAUCCAACGACGAUUAAAGAUUUCAUCGGUCAGGGAUGGGGAUGCGUCUGAUUAGCUAGUUGGCGGGGUAACGGCCCACCAAGGCGACGAUCAGGAGGGGUUCUGAGAGGAAGGGCCCCCACAUUGGAACUGAGACACGGUCCAAACUCCUACGGGAGGCAGCAGUGAGGAAUAUUGGUCAAUGGGCGAGAGCCUGAACCAGCCAAGUAGCGUGCAGGAUGACGGCCCUAUGGGUUGUAAACUGCUUUUAUGCGGGGAUAAAGUGAGGGACGUGUCCUUCAUUGCAGGUACCGCAUGAAUAAGGACCGGCUAAUUCCGUG